GACAGAGGGUGCAAACGUUGUUCGGAAUUACUGGGCGUAAAGCGAGUGUAGGCGGUUCGGUAAGUCGGAUGUGAAAGCCCCGGGCUCAACCCGGGAAGUGCACUCGAUACUGCCGAGCUAGAGUAUCGGAGAGGUUGGUGGAAUUCUCGGUGUAGAGGUGAAAUUCGUAGAUAUCGAGAGGAACACCGGUGGCGAAGGCGGGUCUCUGGGCAGUAACUGACGCUGAGGAGCGAAAGCGUGGGGAGCGAACAGG
rnacentral:rRNA from 1 species